UGAGUAGGCGGUUACAUAUGUCAGAUGUAAAAGGCACAGGCUUAACUUGUGUUAGCAUUUGAAACUGUGUGACUUGAGUGCAGGAGAGGUAAGUGGAAUUCCUAGUGUAGCGGUGAAGUGCGUAGAUAUUAGGAGGAACACCAGUGGCGAAGGCGACUUACUGGACUGUAACUGACGCUGAGUCACGAAAGCGUGGGUAGCAAACAG
rnacentral:rRNA from 1 species